CAAAGGUUUGGUCCUGGCCUUACUAUCAGCUCUAGUCAGAAUUACACAUGCAAGUAUCCGCGCCCCUGUGAGGAUACCCACAACCUCCUGAGUGGAGAAGUGGAGUCGGCAUCAGGCACUCCCUGCUUAGGGUCAAGAUUAGCCCAAGACGCCUUGUUAAGCCACACCCCCAAGGGUAAUCAGCAGUGAUAAACUUUAAGCCAUGAGCGAAAGCUUUACUUAGUCAAGACUAAAAGGGCCGGUAAAACUCGUGCCAGCAACCGCGGUUAUACGGGGGGCCCAAGUUGAUAGGCUUCGGCGCAAAGGGUGGUUAGGGAAACAAGAAUACUAAAGUUGAAGACCCUCAAGGCCGUGAUACGUCAUCUCGAGAGGACGAAGCUCAAUUGCGAAGGUAACUUUAUUAGACCUGAAGCCACGAAAGCUGAGGAACAAACUGGGAUUAGAUACCCCACUAUGCUCAGCCAUAAACAUAGAUAGAAUUUAACUAUUUCUGUCCGCCUGGGGACUACGGACAGCGGUCUAAAAACCAAAGGACUUGGCGGUGCUUUAUAUCCACCUAGAGGAGCCUGUUCUGUAACCGAUGAUCCCCGUUAAACCUCACCCUCCCUUGCUUAAUCAACCUAUAUACCGCCGCCGUCAGCUCACCCUGAGAAGGAAAAAUCGUGGGCGCAACUGGCACUGCCCAAAACGUCAGGUCGAGGUGUAGUAAAUGGGAGGGGAUUCGGAUGGGCUACAUUUGCUGUCUGCAGCAAACACGGAUAUCUUAUUGAAACAUAAGGUUGAAGGAGGAUUUAGUUGUAAGCGGAAAAUAGAGUGUUCCGCUGAAACCGGCCCUGAAGUGCGUACAUACCGCCCGUCACCCUCGCUGAGCCUUAGACGAUCGUAAAUAACCCGCUUUUAAGAAUACCAAGGGAGGAAAGUCGUAACAUGGUAAGCGUACCGGAAGGUGCGCUUGGACAAACA
rnacentral:ncRNA from 1 species